GACGAACGCUGGCGGCGUGCUUAACACAUGCAAGUCGAGCGGUAAGGCCCUUUCGGGGGUACACGAGCGGCGAACGGGUGAGUAACACGUGGGUGACCUGCCCUCAGCUCUGGGAUAAGCCUGGGAAACCGGGUCUAAUACUGGAUAUGACUCCAUGACGCAUGUUGUGGGGUGGAAAGCCUUGUGCGGCUGAGGAUGGGCCCGCGGCCUAUCAGCUUGUUGGUGGGGUGANGGCCUACCAAGGCGACGACGGGUAGCCGGCCUGAGAGGGCGACCGGCCACACUGGGACUGAGACACGGCCCAGACUCCUACGGGAGGCAGCAGUGGGGAAUCUUGCGCAAUGGGCGAAAGCCUGACGCAGCGACGCCGCGUGAGGGAUGACGGCCUUCGG
rnacentral:rRNA from 1 species